UGGGGUGUGUGUGUGUAUUGAUCAGGGGGAACGUAAUACAUUUUAGAAUAAGGCUGUAACGUAACAAUGUGGAAAAAGUCAAGGGGUCCGAAUGCACCGUAUACCUGCUUGGGAGACUCUCACAAUGCCACUGAAGCAUCUCUGUUUCUGUAUUGUGUUAUUGUAGGAAACAGAAAGAUUGUAGAGAGGUCCGUCAGGAGGAGCCAGCACUGCCUCCCUAAGGAGUUUAUGGAUGAAACUUGGGAAUCACAAGAGACAUACGAGAUUAAGAGCAACCAGAAAGCUGCGAAGGAUGAUUAGUUGUUUGGUGCCUUCAAGGGGCUCAGUCUGAAUGUGACAGGAGGCACCCAGAGCUCUAUGGCCUCUAGCGGGGACCAGUGUAAGGUCAUGUGAGACAAAAGACAACUUGUAUCACCUGGCCUCUGCUUCCAGGCUUCGUUCAUGUGCGUGAAAGCCUGGGCCGAAGCUACAUAUCUAACACUUUAAUCUGGUCCACCAGGCUCUAUGUUCCUAUAUUUAUGUGGUAACAAAAAAAGACGGGAUGAGGUUACCUACACUUGCCCUUGUGAGACAUUGAGAAGACACUGAACUCUAGGAAAAACAACACUUGUGGUGAUAAAGAAGCCAAAGUUGUAAAGGUAGACUCAGCGGUAUGACGUAGAUGCAGAAAGUAAACAGCAUAGUGGGCCAAUUCCCGCAACAACUAAGCGUGAAGCUCAACUCUGCUGUUUUUGUCCAG
rnacentral:lncRNA from 1 species